CCCGAUUAGCAACAGGAAUCAUUUGAUACAAUUCUCAUAACUGUGAUGUCAGUGGAAAUAGAAGAGAGCAACCUGUUCAGGAGAAAAAGGCAAAAUGUUUGAAACUGAAAGGAAUCUGCUGCCUGCCUUUUGCCUAUCUCUUCUAAAAUGACACGAGGCCUGUAAUGCUGCAGCUGUCUUGAAACCAUGAGACAACAAGCAUAAAGACAGACAGAUGUACUAGUAAUGGAAGAGAGAGAGUGCUAGCUGGCUUUCCUGGGAACUAUGCCUCCAGCCUCCGUGUAAAGAUUGACAAUUUUCCUCGCCUGGUUUCCAUGGGAGACUUGGCCACACUCUUGCAGAGAGGAGCAAAGGACCCAACUUUGGACAUGCCUGGCUUUGGCCUUGUGAUUGAACAUUUUUCUGGCAUCAGAAAACUGGUGGCAAGAUGUUCGAAUUACAAAUGGGCCAUGAAGAAAAGCAUUCAGUAAAGAAAACAAAAUCUCUGACAAGAUGCAACACAUGACAGAGUGGUCUUAACAUCUGCUGUGACUUCUAAUACAGAAUAACUUCUCCAGAAUAAAGUUCUUGGCAUUGCAACCAAUGGCUUUAUGUGAAUGAAUAGCAAGUAGAUUCACUGGCUGUAUGAAAACAAACUGCGCAUUUCUAUCUCCAGGCUGGAAGGUUAUCUGCCUGUCCUAUCAGCUGUGACCCUGGGCCUGUCUGCCAGUUGUUCUCUGGUGCAUUCAGCUGGGUCUGUGUGCCCCAUCCAUGAGGCAAUCACAGAAUUUCAUCUGGAAAGAGGUUUUGCUCACCAGAGUGCAUAAGAGAACAGAAGAAAUGCUGGGCAGCUGUGUAGGAUCCUGGCUUAGAGUUUCUCCCAGAGUACUAGAAUUGAAGCCAAGGAUGCUCUACUACUGAGCUAUAUCCCCAGCCCCAGCCCCAACUUCCUAACUUACCCAUAAUGGUUUUGAACUUGUGAUACUCCUAUGUCAACAUCUCAAAUAGCGAGGACUGCAGAUGGUUCCCUGUUGAUUACAACAAUGAAUGACACACAGUUCACUAAGUCAGCUAAUACACCGAGCUGGAGCCUGACCCACAUUUUCAAAGAACUUGUGUCUAUUUGAUGUGGUGCCUGAAAGCAAGUUCCUCAUCAAUUCUGUAAUUAUGCAGUAAAACAACUUAAAGAAAAAAAAUAGGGUGGAGAAUAUCUAAUGGCCAUGACAUCUUUCACAUGGAAAAAUGGAUACAUCGAAAUUUUAAAACUCAAUUAUUAAUCCAAGGAGCCCUGGACAAAAGGUCUUCAUGAUCUAUGUGGUGAAGAGAUGUCUUAGAAGGUGGCCCAUCACACAUCAUUGGCU
rnacentral:lncRNA from 1 species